rnacentral:rRNA from 1 species
UACGGGGGGGGCAAGCGUUGCUCGGAAUCACUGGGCGUAAAGGGUGCGUAGGCGGGUUUUUAAGUCAGGGGUGAAAUCCUGGAGCUCAACUCCAGAACUGCCUUUGAUACUGAAGAUCUUGAGUCCGGGAGAGGUGAGUGGAAUUCCCAGUGUAGCGGUGAAAUGCGUAGAUAUUGGGAGGAACACCAGUGGCGAAGGCGGCUCACUGGACCGGUACGUGACGCUGAGGUGCGAAAGCG